rnacentral:lncRNA from 10 species
AAAAGAAUUCCGGAAACACACUCGUGGAGCCAGAGGUGGCAAUUCACCGAAUUCGAAUCACUGUAACAAGCCGCAAAGUAAAAUCCCUGGAGAAGGUGUGUGCUGACUUGAUCAGAGGAGCAAAGGAAAAGAAUCUCAAAGUGAAAGGACCAGUUCGAAUGCCUACCAAGACUUUGAGAAUCACUACAAGAAAAACCCCUUGUGAAUGUUCUAAGACAUGGGAUUGUUUCGGGAUGAGAAUCCACAAGCGACUUAUUGACUGGCACAGUCCUUCUGAGAUUGUUAAGCAGGUUACUUCCAUCAGUAUUGAGCCAGGAGUUGAGGUGGAAGGCACCAUUGCAGA